rnacentral:tRNA from 1 species
CUCCAGUUAGCCUAGUGGUUAAGGCUUUGGAUCGCCAAUCCGGAGACGGCGGGAUCGAUUCCCGUUCUGGUCG